rnacentral:rRNA from 1 species
UACAGAGGUCUCAAGCGUUGUUCGGAAUCACUGGGCGUAAAGGGUGUGUAGGCGGCGUGGAAAGUCAGAUGUGAAAUCCGGGGGCUCAACCUCCGAAUUGCAUCCGAUACUGCCAUGCUCGAGGUCUGUAGAGGAGUCUGGAAUUCUCGGUGUAGCAGUGAAAUUCGUAGAGAUCGAGAGGAACACUUGUUGCGAAAGCGAGACUCUGGGCAGAAACUGACGCUGAAACACGAAGGCCAGGGUAGCGAACGGG